rnacentral:rRNA from 1 species
AGAGUUUGAUCCUGGCUCAGGAUGAACGCUAGCGGCAGGCUUAAUACAUGCAAGUCGAGGGGUAACGGGGUGCUUGCACCGCCGACGACCGGCGCACGGGUGAGCAACGCGUACAGAACCUGCCCGUUACAGGGGGACAGCCCAGGGAAACUUGGAUCAAUACCCCGUAGUGCAGGGGGCCGGCAUCGGCCCCUUGCUAAAGAACUUCGGUAACGGAUGGCUGUGCGUCCCAUUAGCUAGUUGGGGGGGUAACGGCCCACCAAGGCGUCGAUGGGUAGGGGCCCUGAGAGGGGGAUCCCCCACACUGGUACUGAGACACGGACCAGACUCCUACGGGAGGCAGCAGUGAGGAAUAUUGGACAAUGGGCGGAUGCCUGAUCCAGCCAUGCCGCGUGCGGGAAGAAGGUCCUAUGGAUCGUAAACCGCUUUUGUACGGGAAGAACCGGGGGCACGCGUGCCCCCCUGACGGUACCGUAAGAAUAAGGAUCGGCUAACUCCGUGCCAGCCGCCGCGGUAAUAC